UCUUGGUCAUUUAGAGGAAGUAAAAGUCGUAACAAGGUUUCCGUAUUAAGUCUUUGCAGGCUGGAACAUGAUUCCUUCCGCAGUGUACACUUAUCGAAGCCUAUGCAGCCACGCAAGUGGUAGGUCCAGACGACUCUAAACAAGUUGGUGCCGCGAUGCAAGUCCACCGGGGUGGGCGACACUUUUGAAUUGACGGGGACACCCUAAAGCCGAUCGCACCAACCUGUGUCGGGAAACCGCACGGGGGCCCAUGGGAAAUACAUGGGGAAAGGUAACAGACGAUCCGGAUAGUUCUGCUUCAGGCAGAGAUCAUGGGCAAUCCGCAGCUAAGCUCCUACGGCCUCCGCGGCUACGGAGAAAGUCCACAGACUAAGUGGAAGUGGGUAGGAUGACUAAUCCUGCUUAAGAUAUAGUCGGGCCGCCCGGGAAAUCGGGUGGGCAAGUACACUGUAUGGGUUUCUACUGAGAGGUGCGACUUCCCAUCUUGACAGUCGAAUUGGCAGGUACCUGUCCGAGUACCGUCCCGCCCCUGGCUCCCACCGGGUUAGGGCUACUCGGACACGUGACUUCUUCUCUCAGAGAUACUCAGUGAACCUCAAAAAACCGUUCCGUAGGUGAACCUGCGGAAGGAUCAUUACCGAGUGCGGACCCCUCGCGGUCCAACCUCCCACCCGUGUCUACUUGAAUACCCUGUUGCUUUGGCGGGCCCACCGGGCCACCGGUCGCCGGGGGACGUCCCUGUCCCCGGGCCCGUGCCCGCCGGAGCGCCCACAGAACCCUUUGUGAAGAUGGACUGUCUGAGCAUGAUUGAUAAUGAAUCAAAACUUUCAACAAUGGAUCUCUUGGUUCCGGCAUCGAUGAAGAACGCAGCGAAAUGCGAUAAGUAAUGUGAAUUGCAGAAUUCCGUGAAUCAUCGAAUCUUUGAACGCACAUUGCGCUCCCUGGCAUUCCGGGGAGCAUGCCUGUCCGAGCGUCAUUUCUGCCCUCAAGCGCGGCUUGUGUGUUGGGCGCUGGUCCCCCCUUCUCCCGGGGGGACCUGCCCGAAAGGCAGCGGCGACGUUCCCGCCCAGGUCCUCGAGCGUAUGGGGCUUUGUCACCCGCUCGGGACGGACCCGCGGGGCGUUGGUCAUCCAACCCCAUCUCUUUUUACGGUUGACCUCGGAUCAGGUAGGAGUUACCCGCUGAACUUAAGCAUAUCAAUAAGCGGAGGA
rnacentral:rRNA from 1 species